rnacentral:lncRNA from 1 species
UUUUUUGUAGACGGAGUCUCCUCUGUCACCCAGGCUGGAAUGCAGUGGCAUGAUCUUGGCUCACUGAAACCUCCACUUCCUGGGUUCAAGUGAUUCUCCUGCCUCAGCCUCCUGAGUAGUUGGGAUUACAGGCACCCACCACCAUGCCCGGCUAAUUUUUGUACUUUUAGUAGAGAUGGGGUUUCACUAUGUUGGUCAGGCUAAUCUGGAACUCCCGACCUCAGGUAAUCCACCUGCCUUGGCCUCCCAAAAUGCUGGGAUUACAGGUGUGAGCCACCACACCCAACCAAUGUGGUAGCUUUAGGUCAACAUGAUUGCACACCCAGAACUAGAUCUUUCCAAUAUCCCAGAAUAGACUGUGUAAAGAGAGCCAGGUAACUGCUCCACAUUGGGAGAAGGCAGAAAUUAAAUAUGAGGCAGACAGGAACUCCAUAUUGGCAGCAGAAACUGAAAGAUGAAUCAAAAAAGCCAUUGAGCAAAUGUCAUCAGGCAAUAGAAUCCAUAAGUAAGCAGAGCCUUUAGGUAAAGAAGAGAAGCAUAGACACGGCAGAAGUGAAGAGCUAGAAAAAUUGUAUCACAAGAACGUUGGAGUGCCUGAAGCACAGAAUACUGGAUGCUGGAUUGGCAGAGGUGCUGGUAUCCAAAACCCAGCCAGUGUGCACCUCAAAAGAAUCCAAGUGGACAUUGCCACCACCCAGCAGGCUCUUCUCAGAUCAGAAGCUCCCUUUUGUCAGCAGACUUUCACAUCAGCCCCAUGAGACACCAAUCUGAUCCUUCCAAAUGUGGCUCCACACACCUUGGGAAACUGUCCCACCCAGAGUGCUGUCAUUUCUACCGCACUAUGUCUGGAGACUUUGCCUGGCUCAGGCCUUCCUUAGACUCUAGGCUGGGUCAGCUUCCAAAGUACGCCUUUGACAGUGAAAAAUUCCACUUGAAGAUAUGUGAGACAGCUUGCACAAUAAUUUGUCUAAGGACUGUUUAUUGGUGAUGGAUUGAGAGUCUGGUGAAGGGGAUCAGAAUAUACCACCCCCAAAUAUGCCACUUUGGCAUAAGGAUUAUUUUGAGGUUAAAGCAAUUGAGAAAUAGCAGAUUCAGAAGGAACUCUACCCUCCCCUUCUCUGCCUAAAAGUAGGGUAAAUAUAACAAAUUGCCAUUUGUAAAAGUAUCUUCCUUCCCCUCUCCCAUACCAGAAGGCAGAGAACAACCAGUGUCACAGGAGCUGGCAAGUCAGCACUGAGACAAGUCUGCACAAACAAACCUUACUACCAUAACCCUUUUCUUCAAUUAGCUUCCCCCAUAUAUUUACCCUCCCACAAUGUACCACCAUUAGAAGCCCAAGCCCCUUUUCCUUUGUCAUAUCAUUUCUCCAGAAUUUAUCACCCUUUGUUAAGAUGAUAUAUAAGCUCUUAGGCCUGACUGAUUUGGGUUUUCACUUCUUUCCUGUGACACCUCCCUCCCUAUGUGCAUAUAAAAUAACUUUUUAUUAAUCUGUCAUUUGUCAGUUUAAGUCACAGGCCCCAGUCCCUAAACCCAAGAGGGUAUAGGAAAAGUUUUUUUCUUCCUCUACAUCUAGAACCUCCUGCCCGUAU